UACGGAGGGUGCAAGCGUUGUUCGGAAUCAUUGGGCGUAAAGAGCGUGUAGGCGGCCAAUUAAGUCUGAUGUGAAAGCCCAGGGCUUAACCCUGGAAGUGCAUUGGAUACUGGUUGGCUAGAGGACGAGAGAGGAAGGCGGAAUUCCUGGUGUAGGGGUGAAAUCCGUAGAUAUCAGGAGGAACACCGGAGGCGAAGGCGGCUUUCUGGCUCGUAACUGACGCUGAGACGCGAAAGCGUGGGGAGCAAAC
rnacentral:rRNA from 1 species